rnacentral:sRNA from 1 species
UAAUGUUGGUAAGAAAAAGGAAGCCCCGCGUGAACAGGACUUCCCGUGUAGAGCCGCUUAAGACGGUGACAAAUUUAUACAGUUUAAAUA